UUCCAUGUACAAGAUAACUAACUCAGCUAGGAAAUGAGUAAAAUCUAGAACAAAAUAUUUAUUGAAUACAAGAUAGCCAUAGCGUUGUCUAUAUUAGACCCAAAACAGGCCCAAAAAAAUGUAAUAGUCACUAAAAACAAACUCAAAAUAAACCUAAAGAAACUUAAAACAGAUAUAAGAUAUAAAACUAAUGACACAAUCUUCUUUUCUUGUC
rnacentral:lncRNA from 1 species